rnacentral:rRNA from 1 species
GAUGAACGCUGGCGGCGUGCCUAAUACAUGCAAGUCGAGCGAACGGACGAGAAGCUUGCUUCUCUGAUGUUAGCGGCGGACGGGUGAGUAACACGUGGAUAACCUACCUAUAAGACUGGGAUAACUUCGGGAAACCGUAGCUAAUACCGGAUAAUAUUUUGAACCGCAUGGUUCAAAAGUGAAAGACGGUCUUUCUGUCACUUAUAGAUGGAUCCGCGCUGCAUUAGCUAGUUGGUAAGGUAACGGCUUACCAAGGCAACGAUGCAUAGCCGACCUGAGAGGGUGAUCGGCCACACUGGAACUGAGACACGGUCCCGACUCCUACGGGAGGCAGCAGUAGGGAAUCUUCCGCAAUGGGCGAAAGCCUGACGGAGCAACGCCGCGUGAGUGAUGAAGGUCUUCGGAUCGUAAAACUCUGUUAUUAGGGAAGAACAUAUGUGUAAGUAACUGUGCACAUCUUGACGGUACCUAAUCAGAAAGCCACGGCUAACUACGUG